rnacentral:rRNA from 1 species
AGAGUUUGAUCCUGGCUCAGAUUGAACGCUGGCGGCAUGCCUAACACAUGCAAGUCGAACGGCAGCACAGCAGUAGCAAUACUGUGGGUGGCGAGUGGCGGACGGGUGAGUAAUGCAUCGGGAUCUACCCAAACGUGGGGGAUAACGUAGGGAAACUUACGCUAAUACCGCAUACGUCUUACGAGAGAAAGCAGGGGACC